rnacentral:lncRNA from 1 species
CUGCUGUAGCACAAAGUGUCCUUCCUCUUCUUCAGCUAAAAUUGGGGGAGGGACAAACCAAUUGUUACUAUACCCCUUGCCAUCUGCCUGCUAGAAGGCCUGUUUCCUACCCUAAUGGUUUCUGCCUAACAAAUGGUGUUUCUUUUUUACAGCAUUAUGAUCCUGGACUUGUUGUGGUGAUGGUAAACUUAGCAGUGGGAGAACAGAUCCCAUUCCGAUUGUCGUCAAGUAUGAUGUCAUGGGCAUGGGUCGCAUGGAAAUGGAGGUAAAUUGAUCUUGUUAGCUA